rnacentral:rRNA from 1 species
UACGUAGGGUCCAAGCGUUAUCCGGAAUCACUGGGCGUAAAGCGUGCGUAGGUGGCGUGUUAAGUGUGAUGUUAAAUCGUGUGGCUCAACCAUAUCGAUGUGUCGCAUACUGGCAUGCUAGAGGACAGCAGAGGCAAGUGGAAUUUGUAGUGUAGCAGUGAAAUGCGUAGAUAUUACAAGGAACACCAAUGGGGAAGGCAGCUUGCUGGGCUACUCCUGACACUGAGGUACGAAAGCGUGGGGAGCGAACAGG